rnacentral:rRNA from 1 species
UACGUAGGGUGCAAGCGUUGUCCGGAAUUAUUGGGCGUAAAGAGCUCGUAGGCGGUCUGUCGCGUCUGCUGUGAAAACUCAGGGCUUAACCCUGAGCUUGCAGUGGGUACGGGCAGACUAGAGUGCGGUAGGGGAGACUGGAAUUCCUGGUGUAGCGGUGAAAUGCGCAGAUAUCAGGAGGAACACCGGUGGCGAAGGCGGGUCUCUGGGACGUAACUGACGCUGAGGAGCGAAAGCAUGGGGAGCGAACAGG